CCUACGGGAGGCAGCAGUAAGGAAUAUUGGUCAAUGGACGGAAGUCUGAACCAGCCAUGCCGCGUGCAGGAUGACGGCCCUCUGGGUUGUAAACUGCUUUUAUAGGGGACGAAAAAAGGGGAUUCUUCCUCACUUGACGGUACCCUAGGAAUAAGCACCGGCUAACUCCGUGCCAGCAGCCGCGGUAAUACGGAGGGUGCAAGCGUUAUCCGGAUUUACUGGGUUUAAAGGGUGCGUAGGUGGGUCGGUAAGUCAGCGGUGAAAUCUUCGAGCUUAACUCGGAAACUGCCAUUGAUACUAUCGAUCUUGAAUCGUCUAGAGGUAAGCGGAAUAUGUCAUGUAGCGGUGAAAUGCUUAGAUAUGACAUAGAACACCAAUUGCGAAGGCAGCUUACUAUGGAUGUAUUGACACUGAGGCACGAAAGCGUGGGGAUCAAACAGGAUUAGAUACCCUGGUAGUCCACGCCCUAAACGAUGGAUACUCGACAUUUGAGAUAUACUUUAAGUGUCUGAGCGAAAGCAUUAAGUAUCCCACCUGGAAGUACGAUCGCAAGAUUGAAACUCAAAGUAUAGUAGCGNGAGAGAGACGACGACGACGACGAGGAGGGAGGAG
rnacentral:rRNA from 1 species